UCAAGCUACAAAGAGCGCAAGGGGAAUGCCUUGGCACUGGGAGCCGAUGAAGGACGCGACUAACUGCGAUAAGCUACGGGGAGCCGUAAGUAGGCAUUGAUCCGUAGAUUUCCGAAUGGAGCAAUCCGAUUAAAGUCAUGUUUAAUCAUCAUACACUGAAUACAUAGGUGUAUGAGGGGAACCGCCUGAACUGAAACAUCUAAGUAGGGCGAGGAAGAGAAAUCAACCGAGAUUCCGCUAGUAGUGGCGAGCGAACGCGGAAGAGGCCAAACCAAGAGUAGUAAUACUUUUGGGGUUUGGACAGCAAUGUGUAGGAUUAAGUUUAGCAGAAUGGCAUGGGAAGGCCAACGAAACAGUGUGAGAGUCACGUAUGCGAAAAGCGAAAUCCGCUAGCUGUAUCCAGAGUACCGCCGGACACGUGAAACCCGGUGGGAAUAUGGGGGGACCACCCUCCAAGCCUAAAUACUACCCAGUGACCGAUAGUGUAUAGUACUGUGAAGGAAAGGUGAAAAGGACCCCGGGAGGGGAGUGAAAAAGAACCUGAAACCUUGUGCUUACAAGCACCGAGAGCCCAUCAACGGGUGAUCGGGUACCUUUUGUAGAAUGGUCCGGCGAGUGAAUGUAACUGGCGAGGUUAAGGACUUAAGGUCCGGAGCCGUAGCGAGAGCGAGUCUGAAUAGGGCGUAUGAAGUCAGUUGUAUUCGACCCGAAACCGGGUGACCUACCCAUGUCCAGGUUGAAGUGGAGGUAAAACUCCAUGGAGGACCGAACCGACUCCCGUUGAAAUGGUAGCGGAUGAGGUGUGGGUAGCGGAGAAAUUUCAAUCGAACCCGGAGAUAGCUGGUUCUCUCCGAAAUAGUUUUAGGACUAGCCUCGUAUUAGAUUACCGGAGGUAAAGCACUGAAUGAGCUAGGGGCCGAGAGGUUACUGAACUCUAUCAAACUCAGAAUGCCGGAUAAUUGAUGUACGGGAGUCAGACAGUGUGAGAUAAGUUUCAUUGUCAAAAGGGAAACAGCCCAGACCCACAGCUAAGGUCCCAAAGUACGGUUAAGUGGAAAAGGAUGUGGGGUUGCACAGACAACCAGGAUGUUGGCUUAGAAGCAGCCACUCAUUAAAAGAGUGCGUAAUAGCUCACUGGUCGAGUGACCCUGCGCCGAAAAUUUAACGGGGCUAAAUCGUACACCGAAGCUUGGGAUGCAGCAAUGCAUGGUAGGAGAGCGUCGUAUAAGGGGUGAAGUCAGAGCGUAAGCGCUGGUGGACUUUAUACGAGUGAGAAUGCCGGAAUGAGUAGCGAGAAAUAUGUGAGAAUCAUAUUGGCCGAAAGUCUAAGGUUUUUGGAGGAAGGUUCGUCCGCUCCAAGUAAGCCGGGAGCUAAGGUGAGGCCGAAAGGCGUAGCCGAUGCACAUACGGUAGAUAUUCCGUAGCCGCCAAAAGAUUUAAGUAAGAGGACACCUUGAAAGGACUUGACCCGGGCGAUGGUUGCCCCGGGCGAAAGGGACCGAAAUUUAGUAGGGAAGCAAGUUUGGACGAGGGCGAGAAAAGUCUUAUGUAUAUCUUCGGCGCCCGUACCGCAAACCGACACAGGUAGAUAGGAAGAGAAUUCUAAGGCCAACGGGAGAAGGGUAGUUAAGGAACUCGGCAAAUUGACCCCGUAACUUAGGAAUAAGGGGUGCCACAGCGAUGUGGUCGCAGAGAAUAGGCCCAGGCAACUGUUUAUCAAAAACACAGGUCUCUGCCAAAUCGAAAGAUGAAGUAUAGGGGCUGACACCUGCCCGGUGCUGGAAGGUUAAGAGGAGAUGUGCAAGCAUUGAAUUGAAGCCCCAGUAAACGGCGGCCGUAACUAUAACGGUCCUAAGGUAGCGAAAUUCCUUGUCGGGUAAGUUCCGACCCGCACGAAUGGUGUAAUGAUCUGGGCACUGUCUCAAUUACCCGCCCGGCGAAAUUGUAGUACCGGUGAAGAUGCCGGUUACCCGCGACAAGACG
rnacentral:rRNA from 1 species